GAAGAUGACGAGCGGCGGACGGGUGAGUAAUGCUUGGGAACAUGCCUUUAGGUGGGGGACAACCAUUGGAAACGAUGGCUAAUACCGCAUAAUGUCUACGGACCAAAGGGGGCUUCGGCUCUCGCCUUUAGAUUGGCCCAAGUGGGAUUAGCUAGUUGGUGAGGUAAUGGCUCACCAAGGCGACGAUCCCUAGCUGGUUUGAGAGGAUGAUCAGCCACACUGGAACUGAGACACGGUCCAGACUCCUACGGGAGGCAGCAGUGGGGAAUAUUGCACAAUGGGCGCAAGCCUGAUGCAGCCAUGCCGCGUGUGUGAAGAAGGCCUUCGGGUUGUAAAGCACUUUCAGUAAGGAGGAAAGGUUAGUAGUUAAUACCUGCUAGCUGUGACGUUACUUACAGAAGAAGCACCGGCUAACUCCGUGCCAGCAGCCGCGGUAAUACGGAGGGUGCGAGCGUUAAUCGGAAUUACUGGGCGUAAAGCGUACGCAGGCGGUUUGUUAAGCGAGAUGUGAAAGCCCCGGGCUCAACCUGGGAACUGCAUUUCGAACUGGCAAACUAGAGUGUGAUAGAGGGUGGUAGAAUUUCAGGUGUAGCGGUGAAAUGCGUAGAGAUCUGAA
rnacentral:rRNA from 1 species